AUGACAAUAGGGACAGUUCAUAACGAUGUGGACAGAGCUUCCCUGGAGGUUACUCAGUGUGGCGUAGUCUUUCAGGGUUGCACAGAUGAGAACUACGAUGACCCGCACGAAACCCCUUCCUCCCCAGUUGUCCAUAUCAGGGGCCUGAUUGACGGUGUGGUAGAAGCUGACCUUGUUGGAGUUUGGACCCAUCAGCUAUGUGGUGGCCUUGCAGGAGUUUGGACCCAUCAGCUAUGUGGUGGUAAUGCCUAAAACAAAGACAAGCACUGGUGGAAUUCGAAGAUGUUUUGGGGGCUUGCAAUGCCAUGAACUAUGCAGCCGACAACCAAAUCUAUAUUGCCGGUCACCCAGCUUUUCGUAAAUUACUCUACCAGCCAGCGGAUCUCUCGCCCUCGGGACUCAGAUGACUCCCCGAGUGUCAACAGUGUGCUUCUCUUUACCAUCUUGAAUCCUAUCUACUCUCAUUACUACAGAUGUGCUAUAUACGAUCUGUAAUCCUUGUGACCCCGUCCAGAGAAUUGUCAUUUUCCGGAAGAAUGGAGUGAAGGCCAUGGUGGAAUUUGAAUCUGUUCAAAGUGCCCAGUGGGCCAAGGCCUCACUCAAUGGGGACAUCUAUUCCAGCUGUACCACUCUGAAGAUUGAAUAUGCGAAGCCUACGGGCUCGAAUGUGUUCAAGAAUGAUCAGAAUACUGGGGAUUAUACAAACCCCAACCUCAGUGCACAAGGUGACCCUGGCAGCAACCCCAACAAAUGCCAGAGGCAGCCCCCUCUCCUGGGAGAACAUCCCGCAGAAUAUGGAGGGCCCCACGGUGGAUACCACAGCCAUUACCAUGAUGAGGGCUACAGGCCCCCCCCUCACCAUGAAGGGAGAAGGAUGGGUCCACCAGUGGGGGGUCACCGUCGGGGCCCAAGCCUCUACGGCCCCCAGUAUGGGCACCCCACCACCUGAGUGUGGCCCUCAUGCCGAAAGUCCUGUGCUCGUGGUCUGUGGCUUGGAUCCAUCUAAGAUGAACUGUGACCAAUUCUUCAAUGUCUUCUACUUAUAUGGCAAAGUAGAGAAGGUGAAAUUCAUGAAAAGCAAACGGUGGGGCCGCCAUGGUGGAGAUGGCUGAUAGUUAUGCUGUUGACCGGGCCAUUACCUAGCUCAACAACAACUUCAUGUUCAGGCAGAAGCUGAACGUCUGUGUCUCCAAGCAACCAGCCAUCAUGACCGGUCAGUCAUACAGGCUGGAAAAUGGGUCUUACACUUACAAAGACUUCAGUGAAUCGAGGAACAAUAGGUUCUCUACCCCAGAGCAGGCAGCGAAGGUCCGCAUCCAGCACCCGAGUAAUGUUCUACACUUUUUCAACGUUCCUCUGGAGGUGACUGAGGAGAACUUUGAGAUCUGCGACCAGCUGGGGGUGAAGCGGCCAACUUCUGUGAAAGUAUUCUCAGGCAAAAGUGAACGCAGCUCCUCUGGGCUGCUGGAGUGGGAAUCAAAGAGCGAUGCCCUUGAGACUUUGGGCCCUUGAGACUUUGGGCUUCAUUACCAGAUGAAAAACCCGAAUGGUCCAUACCCUUACACUCUGAAGUUGUGUUUCUCCACUGCUCAGCACGCCUCCUAAUUAGGUGUCAAGGAAGAAUCCCAUCUGAGCAGGAAAACAUUUCUCUUUCCUUUAUGCUGUUUUGUUUUUUCUUUUUUUUUUUCUCCAAAAAUUCUUGUAUUCCUUUUUUUAAUGCUAGGUUAGUAGAAGCUUAACCAUAAUGGAAGUCUGGAGGAGGAGGGAGAGGGGAACUGAUAUCUCCCAAGAUUAACCUUCACUUUUUAAAAAAUUAUUGUACAUAUGAUUUUGUUUUUUCCUGUUCAUACAUUUGUGCUGCCCAUGUACUCUUGGCACAUUUCAAUAAAAUUGUUUGGAAA